rnacentral:rRNA from 1 species
GACGAACGCUGGCGGCGUGCUUAACACAUGCAAGUCGAACGGAAAGGCCCUGCUUUUGUGGGGUGCUCGAGUGGCGAACGGGUGAGUAACACGUGAGUAACCUGCCCUUGACUUUGGGAUAACUUCAGGAAACUGGGGCUAAUACCGGAUAGGAGCUCCUGCUGCAUGGUGGGGGUUGGAAAGUUUCGGCGGUUGGGGAUGGACUCGCGGCUUAUCAGCUUGUUGGUGGGGUAGUGGCUUACCAAGGCUUUGACGGGUAGCCGGCCUGAGAGGGUGACCGGCCACAUUGGGACUGAGAUACGGCCCAGACUCCUACGGGGGGCAGCAGUGGGGAAUUUUGCACAAGGGGGGGAAGCCUGAUGCAGCAACGCCGGGGGGGGGAUGACGGCCUUCGGGUUGUAAACCGCUUUCGCCUGUGACGAAGCGUGGGUGACGGUAAUGGGUAAAGAAGCACCGGCUAACUACGU